rnacentral:rRNA from 1 species
UACGUAGGUGGCAAGCGUUAUCCGGAUUUACUGGGUGUAAAGGGCGUGUAGGCGGGACUGCAAGUCAGAUGUGAAAACCACGGGCUCAACCUGUGGCCUGCAUUUGAAACUGUAGUUCUUGAGUACUGGAGAGGCAGACGGAAUUCCUAGUGUAGCGGUGAAAUGCGUAGAUAUUAGGAGGAACACCAGUGGCGAAGGCGGUCUGCUGGACAUUAACUGACGCUGAGGCGCGAAAGCGUGGGGAGCAAACAGG